UACGUAGGUGGCAAGCGUUGUCCGGAUUUACUGGGCGUAAAGAGCGCGCAGGCGGUCGUUCAAGUCGCGUGUGAAAGCCCCCGGCUCAACUGGGGAGGGUCACGCGAUACUGAUCGACUCGAAGGCAGGAGAGGGUAGUGGAAUUCCCGGUGUAGUGGUGAAAUGCGUAGAUAUCGGGAGGAACACCAGAGGCGAAGGCGACUACCUGGCCUGUUCUUGACGCUGAGGCGCGAAAGCUAGGGGGGCAAACGGG
rnacentral:rRNA from 1 species